rnacentral:misc_RNA from 1 species
GAUGAAGAACGUAGCGAAAUGCGAUAAGUAAUGUGAAUUGCAGAAUUCCGUGAAUCAUCGAAUCUUUGAACGCACAUUGCGCCCUCUGGUAUUCCGGGGGGCAUGCCUGUCCGAGCGUCAUUUGCAAACCUCAAGCCCGGCUUGUGUGAUGGGUGCCGUCCCCUACGGGACGCGCCCCGAAGGCAAUGGCGGCGUCGCGGUUAUCCGAUCAGCCAAAGUGUAUGGGGCUUUGUCACUCACUUUACGGCCCGGACCGGCGCCAGUCCGAAUCAAUCUUUUUUCUAAAGUUGACCUCGGAUCAGGUAGGGAUACCCGCUGAACUUAAGCAUAUCAAUAAGCGGAGGA